rnacentral:rRNA from 1 species
AUUGAACGCUGGCGGCAUGCCUUACACAUGCAAGUCGAACGGUAACGCGGGGCAACCUGGCGACGAGUGGCGAACGGGUGAGUAAUGCAUCGGAACGUGCCUGGUAGUGGGGGAUAACUGCUCGAAAGAGCAGCUAAUACCGCAUACGACCUGAGGGUGAAAGGGGGGGAUCGCAAGACCUCUCGCUAUCAGAGCGGCCGAUGUCGGAUUAGCUAGUUGGUGGGGUAAAGGCCCACCAAGGCAACGAUCCGUAGCUGGUCUGAGAGGACGACCAGCCACACUGGGACUGAGACACGGCCCAGACUCCUACGGGAGGCAGCAGUGGGGAAUUUUGGACAAUGGACGCAAGUCGGAUCCAGCCAUGCCGCGUGCGGGAAGAAGGCCUUCGGGUUGUAAACCGCUUUUGUCAGGGAAGAAAUCUUCUGGGUUAAUACCUCGGGAGGAUGACGGUACCUGAAGAAUAAGCACCGGCUAACUACGUGCCAGCCGCCGCUGUAAUAC